CCUACGGGGGGCAGCAGUGAGGAAUAUUGGUCCAUGGGCGCGAGCCUGAACCAGCCAAGCCGCGUGAGGGAAGACGGUCCUAUGGAUUGUAAACCUCUUUUGUCGGGGAGCAAAAGACGCCACGCGUGGCUUUCCGAGAGUACCCGAAGAAAAAGCAUCGACUAACUCCGUGCCAGCAGCCGCGGUAAUACGGGGGAUGCGAGCGUUAUCGGGAUUUAUUGGGUUUAAGGGGUGCGCAGGCGGAAGAUCAGGUCAGCGGUAAAAUUGAGGGGCUCAACCUCUUCGAGCCGUUGAAACUGGUCUUCUUGAGUGAGUGAGAGGUAUGCGGAAUGCGUGGUGUAGCGGUGAAAUGCAUAGAUAUCACGCAGAACUCCGAUUGCGAAGGCAGCAUACCGGCGCUCAACUGACGCUCAGGCACGAAAGUGUGGGUAUCGAACAGGAUUAGAUACCCUUGUAGUC
rnacentral:rRNA from 1 species